UACGGGGGGGGCAAGCGUUGUUCGGAAUUACUGGGCGUAAAGGGCUCGUAGGCGGCCAACUAAGUCGGAUGUGAAAUCCCCAGGCUUAACCUGGGAACUGCAUCCGAUACUGGAUGGCUUGAAUCCGGGAGAGGGAUGCAGAAUUCCAGGUGUAGCGGUGAAAUGCGUAGAUAUCUGGAGGAAUACCGGUGGCGAAGGCGGCAUCCUGGACCGGCAUUGACGCUGAUGAGCGAAAGCUGGGGGAGCAAACCGG
rnacentral:rRNA from 1 species